rnacentral:tRNA from 2 species
GGAGAGGUGCCUGAGUGGCCGAAAGGAACGGUUUGCUAAAUCGUCGUACGUUACAAGCGUACCCAGGGUUCGAAUCCCUGUCUCUCCG